GACGAACGCUGGCGGCGUGCUUAACACAUGCAAGUCGAACGGAAAGGCCCUGCUUUUGUGGGGUGCUCGAGUGGCGAACGGGUGAGUAACACGUGAGUAACCUGCCCUUGACUUUGGGAUAACUUCAGGAAACUGGGGCUAAUACAGGAGAGGAGCUCCUGCUGCAGGGUGGGGGUUGGAAAGUUUCGGCGGAUGGGGAUGGACUCGCGGCUUAUCAGCUUGUUGGUGGGGUAGUGGCUUACCAAGGCAUUGACGGGUAGCCGGCCUGGGAGGGUGACCGGCCACAUUGGGACUGAGAUACGGCCCAGACUCCUACGGGAGGCAGCAGUGGGGAAUAUUGCACAAUGGGCGGAAGCCUGAUGCAGCAACGCCGCGUGCGGGAUGACGGCCUUCGGGUUGUAAACCGCUUUCGCCUGUGACGAAGCGUGAGUGACGGUAAUGAGUAAAGAAGCACCGGCUAACUACGUG
rnacentral:rRNA from 1 species